rfam:Achromatium sp. WMS2 contig-183_479, whole genome shotgun sequence.
UCCGGUGGUCAUAGUGGAAGGGCCACACCCGGUCCCAUUCCGAACCCGGUCGUUAAGCCUUCCAACGCCGAUGGUACUGCAUGAGGGAUCGUGUGGGAGAGUAGGACACUGCCGGAA